rnacentral:lncRNA from 1 species
GUCAAUAAAUGGACUGAUCCUUAUUUAUUUUGGGUGUGGACAUCAGAGGUGGCAUGGAGGAGUCCUUUCUCACCCGAAACUCUUUCAUGAUAAGGUAAAAAAUUAACCUAAUCUAAUUACGUUCAAGGCUAUAGCUUAGGUCCUGCUCAAAUACUUUGAACUUAACCUAAUUGGGAACUUAGGUUAACACAAUAUGCUAGCAUAUCAAUUUAACCCUUAGGAUUUAUAAUAAAUUCUAAUUAAAUUAGAUC